CCCAUGUAAAUCGGGAGUUGCCUGUAAUUUGCAACUCAGGGCAGUGUCAGACAGAAUGCUAAGCGGUUACAGACUGGACAUUUUAUCACACAUCUGCACUUGCUCAGGUAUCUUGGGGCAGAGAAAACCUACUCUGAAUGAUUUUGGCCAUGCGCAAUGGCUUAGUGAUAAGGUCAGGCAGGAAACACCAAUUCCUGGUGCUGUUUCUUCCCUUCCCCUUUUGUUUCAUCUCCCGGCCCCCACCCCAACAUGUCUGAAGAAAGAAAACAAAGACUGCAGACUCCUCUUCCUGCUCUUAUGAACCAAGCCUGAUUGCAUAGAAGAGUAAAGAGCGGCCCCUCCUGGCUCAAGGCACAACUCGGAUUGCAACUUGUGGAGAUUCCUUCCACUCCGCCCUCAACCUCUACUACGCAGCAAAUGGCAGAGAAAGGCGUUUUCGAGCAUGUGCAAUGAACUGCAUCAGUGGCAGCUUUGCAUUUGUGAUUCAGCUUUGCAAUUUUGAUUCACCGUUUACAGCAGCUGCCAGUGUGGGAUCUCAUUAAAACGAUACGGUGCGCAUCAAAUUUUGCAGGUGCAACUCUCUGCUUGGCAAGGAGUGCUGUACAGAGCUGCCAGAGAAUCAAUAGAACAACAACAAAUGACCAGAUUCACACACCAGCAGCCGGCUUCUGAGACCAAGAAUUUCAGAGCCUAGAAGAAUUAUGUACUUCCCAUUUUGACUAAUCGCUUCUGGCUGCAGUGGAGUCUUUUUAAGGAUGCUGAAUCUGUGUUAAGCAGCAAGAGAAACACUCUGGGCAGUGCUUAUGUCUACAUAACAAAUGGGCAAAAUUCCACUAUUCCUUCUAGAGUUCACUUCAGCCUCAUGUGCCUUUGUUUGCUGUGGGAAAAUGAGCUGCGCUGCAGACAUUGCCUCUUCUACCAGUGCAUUGCUAUGAUGGAAGGAACAGCAACACCCCACUUUUUAUGAAACUGUUAAUGGUCGUGUCCUGUAUCUUUCUUAAAACAACUUUUCAUGGGUUUUAUAAACAAGGAUCAUAAAAGGAUAAAUGAUACAAAUAAAUAGAUCAAGUCUUCUCAUGUCAUUUGUAUGUCACAAAAAUAGCACAAUAAAUUUGCAGUAAUAUCUACGACAUAUGGUUCAUUA